rnacentral:lncRNA from 1 species
AUGCAGAUUCCCAUUCUCCGUGCUGAAUUCGUUGAUGAUUUAUAUGCACUUGAACAUUCGAGAACUCAUGAGACUCACCAUGCACGCUGGGCUGGAAAGUCAUUAAAAGUGCAGAAGCAUGGCAUGUUAUGGUGCUCUGUGUCGCAGAACCCCCAGGCAACCCGAAGGCAACACAGAUUGAUAAAGAAACUGUACUUCAUACUUCAAAAACCUCAGAAUGAAUCCUAUGCCCUUGAGAUCCAGCAAUUCCACUUCCAGGAAUUCCAGGCUUUGGAGCCAGUGAGUGAGGAAGCUACCUUUGUUUGGAAGAACGACGCUGAUAUCAUUUUGUUAUGUGUCCACUUGGAUUAUAACACUGGCAUCCUGGAAAGAAAACAAUUCUCCAAACUUCUGUCCCCAGCCACGUGCUCCUGA